CUCUGCCUCUGUGGUGGAUAGUGGAGUGUUUCCCAUGUGGUAUUGGUGUGCUGGAUAUCCCUUCACUGGUAGCCUGGUAACAUACACUCCCAGGUCUUUCUCUGCCUCUAUGGUGGAUAGUGGAGUGUUUCCCAUGUGGUAUUGGUGUGCUGGAUAUCCCUUCACUGGUAGCCUGGUAACAUACACUCCCAGGUCUUUCUCUGCCUCUAUGGUGGAUAGUGGAGUGUUUCCCAUGUGGUAUUGGUGUGCUGGAUAUCCCUUCACUGGUAGCCUGGUAACAUACACUCCCAGGUCUUUCUCUGCCUCUGUGGUGGAUAGUGGAGUGUUUCCCAUGUGGUAUUGGUGUGCUGGAUAUCCCUUCACUGGUAGCCUGGUAACAUACACUCCCAGGUCUUUCUCUGCCUCUGUGGCGGAUAGUGGAGUGUUUCCCAUGUGGUAUUGGUGUGCUGGAUAUCCCUUCACUGGUAGCCUGGUAACAUACACUCCCAGGUCUUUCUCUGCCUCUGUGGUGGAUAGUGGAGUGUUUCCCAUGUGGUAUAGGCAUGCUGGAUUUCCCCUCGUAAGCUGCAUGACUUUACAUUUUUCCACAUUGAAUUGUAGCAGCCACUUUU